CGCGUAGGUGGUAGUGAAAGUCUAUGGUGGAAUCUUAGGGCUUAAACCCUAAAACUGCCUUGGAAACUUCAUUACUUGAGUCAGUGAGGGGAGGGUAGAAUUCCUGGUGUAGCGGUGAAAUGCGUAGAUAUCAGGAGGAAGGCCGGUGGCGAAGGCGGCCCUCUGGCGCUGAACUGACGCUGAGGCGCGAAAGCGUGGGUAGCAAACAGGAUUAGAUACCCUGGUAGUCCACGCCCUAAACGGUGGGUACUAGGUGUAGGGCUCGUAAGGGUUCUGUGCCGAAGGGAAACCAUUAAGUACCCCGCCUGGGGAGUACGGCCGCAAGGUUGAA
rnacentral:rRNA from 1 species